CUGUGAACCAGGAAAAAGGCAGGAACGGGGAGCCCCCUGACCUGCUGGAGCCCUCCACUGAUUCCCUGCAGAGAGAGUGUCCAGCAUGGGUGUCCAGGAACUUUCGCCGAGUCUUCUUAUCCAGGCCGAUGGUGGGGCUGGCAGGCUCAGGAGGACUGGCAUCACGGCUGUCAUCUAUCCAGGGAGAGAAGGUAGAAAAUUGCCCGUUUGGUGGCCGGCCUGCCUCCUUUGGCUGCCGGUGUGGGGUGGUGGAAAUUCUCUUGACUUAGAAUCAGGCAGCGUGGCUCUGGUGCCCUUAAAUAGAGGGUGUCCUAGGACAGGACACUUUACCUCUCUGGGCUUCCUCCAUUUUAAAUAUGGGAUAAUAACAUCUGCCUGCUUAACGG